AGGACGAACGCUGGCGGCGUGCCUAACACAUGCAAGUCGAGCGGAGUCGGUAAGAGGAAGUUUCGGAUGGAAUCUUAUGAUUAGCGGCGGACGGGUGAGUAACGCGUGAGCGACCAACCUUGCACAGGGGGAUAACGGACCGAAAGGUUCACUAAUACCGCAUGAGACCACGGUGUUGCAUGACACAGAGGUCAAAGGAGCAAUCCGGUGCAAGACGGGCUCGCGUCCGAUUAGGUAGUUGGAGGGGUAACGGCCCACCAAGCCUAUGAUCGGUAGCCGACCUGAGAGGGUGAUCGGCCACAUUGGAACUGAGAUACGGUCCAAACUCCUACGGGAGGCAGCAGUGGGGAAUAUUGGGCAAAUGGGGGAAACCCUGACCCAGCAACGCCGCGUGAAGGAAGAAGGUUUUCGGAUUGUAAACUUCUGUCCUUGGUGAAGAGAAGAAGACGGUAGCCAAGGAGGAAGCCCCGGCUAACUACGUGCCAGCAGCCGC
rnacentral:rRNA from 1 species